GAUGAACGCUGGCGGCGUGCCUAAUACAUGCAAGUCGAGCGAACAGACGAGGAGCUUGCUCCUCUGACGUUAGCGGCGGACGGGUGAGUAACACGUGGAUAACCUACCUAUAAGACUGGGAUAACUUCGGGAAACCGGAGCUAAUACCGGAUAAUAUAUUGAACCGCAUGGUCCAAUAGUGAAAGACGGUUUUGCUGUCACUUAUAGAUGGAUCCGCGCCGCAUUAGCUAGUUGGUAAGGUAACGGCUUACCAAGGCAACGAUGCGUAGCCGACCUGAGAGGGUGAUCGGCCACACUGGAACUGAGACACGGUCCAGACUCCUACGGGAGGCAGCAGUAGGGAAUCUUCCGCAAUGGGCGAAAGCCUGACGGAGCAACGCCGCGUGAGUGAUGAAGGUCUUCGGAUCGUAAAACUCUGUUAUUAGGGAAGAACAAAUGUGUAAGUAACUAUGCACGUCUUGACGGUACCUAAUCAGAAAGCCACGGCUAACUACGUG
rnacentral:rRNA from 1 species